UGAGGAAUAUUGGUCAAUGGGCGCGAGCCUGAACCAGCCAAGUCGCGUGAAGGAAGAAGGCUCUAUGGGUCGUAAACUUCUUUUAUACGGGAAUAAGGUGAGCCACGUGUGGCUUUUUGUAUGUACCAUAUGAAUAAGGACCGGCUAACUACGUGCCAGCAGCCGCGGUAAUACGUAGGGGGCAAGCGUUGUCCGGAAUUACUGGGUGUAAAGGGAGCGCAGGCGGGAAGGCAAGUCAGCUGUGAAAUGUACGGGCUUAACCCGUGAACUGCAGUUGAAACUGUUUUUCUUGAGUGGAGUAGAGGUAGGCGGAAUUCCGAGUGUAGCGGUGAAAUGCGUAGAUAUUCGGAGGAACACCAGUGGCGAAGGCGGCUUACUGGACGAUAACUGACGCUGAGGCUCGAAAGCGUGGGGAGCAAACA
rnacentral:rRNA from 1 species